rnacentral:rRNA from 1 species
CCUACGGGGGGCUGCAGUGGGGAAUAUUGGACAAUGGGGGGAACCCUGAUCCAGCCAUGCCGCGUGUGUGAAGAAGGCCCUCGGGUUGUAAAGCACUUUCAGUGAGGAAGAACGCCUGGUGGUUAAUACCCAUCAGGAAAGACAUCACUCACAGAAGAAGCACCGGCUAACUCCGUGCCAGCAGCCGCGGUAAUACGGAGGGUGCGAGCGUUAAUCGGAAUUACUGGGCGUAAAGGGCGCGUAGGUGGCUUGAUAAGCCGGUUGUGAAAGCCCCGGGCUCAACCUGGGAACGGCAUCCGGAACUGUCAAGCUAGAGUGCAGGAGAGGAAGGUAGAAUUCCCGGUGUAGCGGUGAAAUGCGUAGAGAUCGGGAGGAAUACCAGUGGCGAAGGCGGCCUUCUGGACUGACACUGACACUGAGGUGCGAAAGCGUGGGUAGCAAACAGGAUUAGAUACCCGAGUAGUC